UUUCCGUAGGUGAACCUGCGGAAGGAUCAUUAUUGUAUAACCGAGGUGCGAGGGCUGUCGCUGACCCGAAAGGUCGUGCACGCCCGAGUGCCCUCACACACAUCCAUCUCACCCCUAUGUGCACCACCGCGUGGGUCCCCCUUUGGCUUGUUCGGAGGGGGGCUUACGUUUUCACACAAACUUUGUAUGUAGUGUAGAAUGUAUUUUUUGUUUUUGCGAUCACGCAAUCAAUACAACUUUCAACAACGGAUCUCUUGGCUCUC
rnacentral:misc_RNA from 1 species